CUUCAACCCAAGCACCCUGGCAAUGCACGACACUUUCUGCCUCAUUAAUUGUGGCAAACAAAAAUGACCAAACAACUACUUAAACCAAAUAGUAGAAAAAAAUAAGUACUAAAUAGGUAUUCAUAUUUCAAGAACUCACUUGCAAAUUAUCCAAAAAAGUUUUUGAGUAAAUAUUUAACAUUCACUAUUAUGUGUCUUUCAUAAUCAGGCAAGGAAAACUGAACCUAUUUCUAUAUAAUCAAAACAAAUGCUAAUCACAAAGGGAAGCAAAUUGAUUGCUUAUGAUUGAUUAUCUGAAUUCCCAUGUUUCAUAAGCAAAACAGCUGUCUGUUAAGGGGCAUAACAGGUUUUUAACAGGAAAAGGAUUAAGGGUUUUAUUUUCCUCAACUGAGGCAUAAAAUGAGCAAGAUUUUUCAAGUUAACUUUCAUUUCAUCUGGCUCAGGUGUCAGGGAUCUAUAUUUAUCUCGGUUUUCGGCAUGCCUCCCGUAUGAAGCGCUGGAAGUCAAGGCAUGUCAAUGGCUUUCAGAUGUCAGGAUAACCUUAAAGACUGAUGAGUGGUCAAGACCCCAUGCCUCAUUUCUGAGUUCUCAGCUGCUGUGCCUUGGAGAUCAUGUGUUUAUUUUCUCAGUCUCUUCCUGCAACAGUCCCAGUUUUACGAUCCUACAUCUGGGCAAGCAAGCUCCUCUUGAAGUUGAUAUCUUACAAAUGAUUAGAAGAAUCGAUUCCUUCUGAGACUCAUCAGAUCAUUUCCUGCAAAAUCCUCAUCUUGCUGUCUACUUGUGGAAAAGAAGCAUACCUCUUGGAAACUACCUUCCUUAGACCUCAGAGUUUGAAAGAAGCAGGUGCUGAAUCUUAGUUUUUCGUGAACAAGAAAAAUGGGCUGCAAUAGAGACUGUGGACUCAUUGCUGGUGCUGUCAUUGGAGCAGUCCUGGCCGUGUUUGGAGGUAUUCUAAUGCCAGUUGGAGACAUGAUUAUUCAGAAGACAAUUAAAAAGGUA
rnacentral:lncRNA from 1 species